rnacentral:lncRNA from 1 species
GCCAGCAGCCGGAUUUGUUUAGAUUAUGUAGUGGUUGGAACGAUAACGCCGAUGAUUUCAGCCUCUAUUGGUACGUCUAUAUCUAUAUAUUUGACAAAUGCUUGUGUGCAAGACGACACAGGAUUGUUUCAAGAGUUGGAACGGGCAUUCAGAUUCAGUACAGCGCUAUAACCUCUGAAUAAUCUCGACUAGUGAUGUCGUACGAACUUGCCACCCUGCCAUGAUUUAUUUUGAAACCGUCGUCGUCUUUUGGCUGCAGCGCAGCAGCUUAUAUAUCUAACCUCUCGUUCGCAAAAAAAAAAAUAUAUCUAACCUCUACAUGUGCAAUAUAUAGAAUAGGAAUGUAUCCUGGGGCCACCCGAUAAAACCCUUAUAUCUUUCAAAUUCGCAAGAUACUUGGCUAUCUCACCAAAGUAGAUUAAGGCA